AUGAACGACCAUAGGGGUCAGGUCCUACCUAGUCUCAUUCCGAACCUAGAAGUAAAACUGGCUCACGUCUUUUGUUGUACUGUACUUCUGUACGGGAAGCUUGGAUGUUGUUCAUC
rnacentral:rRNA from 1 species